AAAAAGUAAAGUUAUCGAAGAGAAGCAGAGAAAAGAAGGCAAAGCUGCUUUGCCAGAGGAAUCUUCUGAUGUUUCUCAUUCGGGUUCAUCUUUCCCUUGCAUGGAUAAACUUAGGGAAGAGCUCUCUUGCGCGAUUUGUCUUGAGGAUUUGCUUCGAACCGAGUACCACUCCUUGUGGCCACAGCUUUUGCAAGAAAUGCCUGCGAUCGGCUGCCGAUAAAUGUGGAAAGCGAUGCCCAAAAUGCAGGCAGCUAAUUAGCAAUGGGUGAUCUUGCACAGUGAAGAUAGUUCUUUGGAACACGAUACAACUACUGUUUCCAAAAGAAGUUGAAGCAAGAAAGGCAUCAGGAAUGCUGAAUAGCCAUGUAGCUGAGCGCCAGAGCCCUGAAGAGGCAAGUCGAAAUAUCCCAGUUCCCAGAAGAAUAAGAACAGUAGUUAGAAGAAGAGAAACGUCUACUCAGGUGGAGGAGGAAGAGGAGACAUUGGGUUCAAGUUGGAGGAGAAGAAGAGGAGUGAGUAGUCAAGAGCAGAGUGUGAGAAGAGGAAGACGAGUCCCCAGUCAAGAGGAAGAUGCCGCAUUGGAUUUUAGAUUGCAGAGGGAAGAAUUCAUGGGGGCUCUUAGGGGGGGAGCUCAUCAUGUGCAACCAAGGACAAGGAGCUCUUUUUCCUCGGCCAGGGAAGCCUUGAGAGCCAUGGCAUCCAGAGCCACUGACCUUCACAUGAGAGGCCGCCCUAUAUA